UCUCCAAAAUGGAUGGAUGGUACAGCCCAA
rnacentral:piRNA from 1 species